CCUACGGGAGGCAGCAGUGAGGAAUAUUGGUCAAUGGGCGCAAGCCUGAACCAGCCAAGUCGCGUGAGGGAAGACUGUCCUAUGUGUUGUAAACCUCUUUUAUCAGGGAAGAAUAGUGACUACUAGUAGUCGGAUGCCCGUACCUUAUGAAUAAGCAUCGGCUAACUCCGUGCCAGCAGCCGCGGUAAUACGGAGGAUGCGAGCGUUAUCCGGAUUUAUUGGGUUUAAAGGGUGCGUAGGCGGUAUGUUAAGUUAGUGGUAAAACGGCGGGGCUUCACCUUGAUGGGCCAUUAAAACUGGAGUACUAGAGUAGGGACGAGGUAGGCGGAAUGAGCGAAGUAGCGGUGAAAUGCUUAGAUA
rnacentral:rRNA from 1 species